UCGUGCCAGGCGGGGAGGCAGCGGCCCCCUGUAACCCGAAAUCCGCUAUAUCGGGGCCGGAUUCCCCUCUGAGGGCAUAUCUUCGGGUAAAGAACCGUUUGCGCCAAGCGUUGAAGGUUGGGUUUCGUGCAGUUCGCCUCUGUCAACCCCGUCAGGUUCGGAAGGAAGCAGCGGCAUACGGAAAUGCGAGCGUGCCGCGAAGCUGCCUGACCGGAGCAAGGUUCUUCGGCAUCGGCCCGGGGUCUAUGUCCGAGGAGGGGUGCGCGG
rnacentral:SRP_RNA from 1 species